GUCGGUACAGAGGGUUGCCAAACCGCGAGGUGGAGCUAAUCCCACAAAACCGAUCGUAGUCCGGAUCGCAGUCUGCAACUCGACUGCGUGAAGUCGGAAUCGCUAGUAAUCGCGAAUCAGAAUGUCGCGGUGAAUACGUUCCCGGGCCUUGUACACACCGCCCGUCACACCAUGGGAGUGGGUUGCACCAGAAGUAGCUAGUCUAACCUUCGGGAGGACGGUUACCACGGUGUGAUUCAUGACUGGGGUGAAGUCGUAACAAGGUAGCCGUAGGGGAACCUGCGGCUGGAUCACCUCCUUAAUCGACGACA
rnacentral:rRNA from 1 species